rnacentral:rRNA from 1 species
UACGGAGGGUGCGAGCGUUGUUCGGAAUCACUGGGCGUAAAGGGCGUGUAGGCGGUCCGCUAAGUCUGAUGUGAAAGCCCGGGGCUCACCCCCGGAAGUGCAUUGGAAACUGGCGGACUCGAGUCCCGGAGAGGAGAGUGGAAUUCCUGGUGUAGCGGUGAAAUGCGUAGAUAUCAGGAGGAACACCGGUGGCGAAGGCGGGUCUCUGGACAGUUCCUGACACUGAGGCACGAAGGCCAGGGGAGCAAACGGG